rnacentral:rRNA from 1 species
UACGGAGGGUGCAAGCGUUAUCCGGAUUCACUGGGUUUAAAGGGUGCGUAGGUGGGCAGGUAAGUCAGUGGUGAAAUCUCCGGGCUUAACCCGGAAACUGCCAUUGAUACUAUCUGUCUUGAAUACCGUGGAGGUGAGCGGAAUAUGUCAUGUAGCGGUGAAAUGCUUAGAUAUGACAUAGAACACCAAUUGCGAAGGCAGCUCACUACGCGAAUAUUGACACUGAGGCACGAAAGCGUGGGGAGCAAACAGG